CUCUUCAGGACAAUAGCCCUUCAGGACCAGAGCUGUACAAUAAACUAGAGAGAGGCCUUGGCAAGUCUUGCACUUAGACAUAAGCUAAUGGUAACAUUUCACAGCCCCUUCAGACGGACAGCUCCAGUGCAUUAUUGCAGUAAUCGAUCAGGGCCUCGGCACACGCAUGAAAGGCUCAUUCAUCGCUCCCGGACCACCCGCUUUCGCUCACACGUCACAACAACCCACCUCUCAGCGUUUAAAGAACUGAAAAACAAGCCUGUCCAUGCUGGGCGAACACGCACGAUGGAAAUGGAGUGGGAGGGCUGGGGAGCUGGAUAAGAUGGAAGUGGCUGAGAGGAGACAAAAAUAAAACCCAAUUUCAACAAUAGCUCAAACCCCUGCCUCGGUGUCUACAGGAGGACGAACCAGCACACCAUCAGCAAGUCCAGGAAUUUUGUCUUCCGCUGUAGGGAGUUUUUUUAAGCUCUAUUUUUCACAGGCGUCCUUGAAAAUAAGGCAAGGAAACAAUGACUGCGGUGACUAAACAGUUGUGGCACUUUUGCAAGCCGUAUUUCAGUGAAAAAAAAGAGUCUUAUUCACUAACCACCUGAAACCUGCUGUCACUAACCAAUAAUUUUGUCCCUUUUCUUUUUCUUCUUUUUUUUUGAGGCAACAGUGAAGCUGGCACUUACAAUGGAAAUAAAUGUGGUUGGUUUGUAGAAGGUUUGAAUACAGAAAUGCGAAGCUUAUAAUUGUAUACAAUUACUUACAUAUUAUAAUUAUCAAAAGUUGUGUAUUAUUUUAGCUGUAAAGUUGUUUUUGUCAAUUUCAUGGUCAACAAAGAGUUGUAAAAUGAAGUAUAAUUUUACAUAAAAAUGCUGGAAACUUUAUUAUUUUAUUAUUAUUUAUAAUUUUGCCACACUAAAACCAUGUUAAUGGACAUUUUGAUUAAGUAUUGUGACGUUUAUAAUUGAAAUAGAUUUUUUUGCUAUUUAUCGACUGGCCCAUUCAUUUCUAUGUGGAGCUUAUAAUUUGUGAAAUUUGUUCACCCAAAAUUGAAAAUUACCCCAUAUUUUACCCACUCCAAAGCCAUCCUAGGUAUAUAUGACUUUCUUCUUUCAGACGAACAGUCAGAGGUUUUAAAAAAUGUAUCCUGGCUGUUUCAAGCUUUAGGUAAGGUCACUAUUUUGAAGCUCCCUUAAAUCAGAUAUUUCCAUCGUAAAACUAACCUAUAUUCCUCCAAAGAGGUUAACAUGUCUUCUGAAACAGAUCGAUGGAAAUCACUGACUUCUGACAAUGGUUGUAUGCACAUUCGUGAGAGAGUUGAGUUACAGCUUCUUGGCUGACCUCUGACUCCACGUAUGACGUAAGCUGCAUUAUAACUUCUUGUUAGAGUUUUUUUUGCAUUAGUAUUGCUCUAUUCUUUCUUGUUUAUUCUCUUCUGAGCUUACGUCAUACUUUGUAGGUGGAGAGGUCAGCCAAGAAGCCGGAACUCAACUCUCUUGCAAAGGCGCAUACAGCCAUUCCCAGGAAGUCAGUU